rnacentral:misc_RNA from 1 species
UUCUAAAUUUGGAAAAAAAAAACCAUAAACAAAUUAAAUAUUUUUCUUAGAAAAUAACCUUUCCAAACAAAGUUUCAAAAAUGUGCGGAGGCGGAUGUGGUCCAUGCGGAGGCUGCUGUUUUUGUCCCACCCGCUAUUUAAAAAGGAGAGAAGAUCAGGCACCCUGUGUUUGGUGUGCACCAUGCAAAGCUCACUGCUACAACACACCGCCCAAAUGUUGUUGCUAGCGAGUUCUCGCAUUUUGCGUGGCACAAUUUCUAAGAAAAAUAUCUGAAAGCACAAUACGAUUGCUGUGGCUUUUAAUGGACCGGCUCGUCAAGAGUUUCAAAGCUCGGUGUUCUAUAUAAGACAAGGAACGAAUUCCGAAUAAUUUAAGUCUUGACGAAUGUGCUUGUAAAACUUUGGGUGGAGUAAAUUCGGAAGCAAGUUGAACCUGGGGAGAUAAAAUGUAUGGCAACACUAAAACUAUUCAAGGCAACUAGAAGACUAACCUAUUCCCAGAAGUCAUUGAGAUUUUACUGCCAAAAGCUUCCAUGUUUCGAACAUGUUUCCAUGUUUCCUCGUACAGGAAGCAAGAUCUCAAGUUCUUCUGCGAGCUUUAAUAAUUGAUAAAUUCAAAAUUUUCAGUAUUAA